rnacentral:lncRNA from 1 species
GGGUUUCUCUACUGGCCAUGUUGGCCAGGCUGGUCUCAAACUCCUGGCCUCAAGCAGUCCACCCGCCUUGGGCCUCCCAAAGUGCUGGGAUUACAGGUGUGAGCCGCUGCACCUAGCCUCAUCAAUCAUUUUCAAACUCUUCUGAGGAACCUGAUGGUUCUUCAGCGAUGCCUCAGGAAUGAUUCUUUCAAUCAGGGCGACUCCAUUUUCAUUUGUUGAGACGUGGGGGCGUGGG